GACGAACGCUGGCGGCGUGCCUAAUACAUGCAAGUUGAGCGAUGAAGAUUGGUGCUUGCACCAAUUUGAAGAGCAGCGAACGGGUGAGUAACGCGUGGGGAAUCUGCCUUUGAGCGGGGGACAACAUUUGGAAACGAAUGCUAAUACCGCAUAACAACUUUAAACAUAAGUUUUAAGUUUGAAAGAUGCAAUUGCAUCACUCAAAGAUGAUCCCGCGUUGUAUUAGCUAGUUGGUGAGGUAAAGGCUCACCAAGGCGAUGAUACAUAGCCGACCUGAGAGGGUGAUCGGCCACAUUGGGACUGAGACACGGCCCAAACUCCUACGGGAGGCAGCAGUAGGGAAUCUUCGGCAAUGGACGAAAGUCUGACCGAGCAACGCCGCGUGAGUGAAGAAGGUUUUCGGAUCGUAAAACUCUGUUGGUAGGGAAGAACGUUGGUGAGAGUGGAAAGCUCAUCAAGUGACGGUAACUACCCAGAAAGGGACGGCUAACUACGUG
rnacentral:rRNA from 1 species